UUGUCGCUGACUUUCAAGUCGUGCACGCCCUAGUGUCUGCAUCCCAUCCCUCUCCACCCUUUGUGCACCACCGCGUGGGCCCCCUUUUGGCUUCGUUCCGAAGGGUGCUUGCGUUUUUAUUUUAACACAAACGUGUAUGCAGUGUAGAAUGUAUUCCUUUUAUGCGAUGACACGCAGUCAAUACAACUUUCAACAACGGAUCUCUUGGCUCUCGCAUCGAUGAAGAACGCAGCGAAAUGCGAUACGUAAUGUGAAUUGCAGAAUUCAGUGAAUCAUCGAAUCUUUGAACGCACCUUGCGCCCCUUGGCAUUCCGAGGGGCACACCCGUUUGAGUGUCGUGAACAUCCUCAACCUUUUUCUUGGUUUCUUGACCAAGAAAAGGCUUGGAAUUUGGAGGUACUUUUUGCUGGCUUUCCAUCAAAGCCGGCUCCUCCCAAAUGCAUUAGUGGGGUCAACCUUGCCGAUCCUGGACGUGAUAAGAUGCUUCUAUGUCCUCGGUGCGAAAACCCGCUUCUAACCGUCUCGUCGAGAGGACACAGCACGCAUGUGAACCUCCUGACCACCAG
rnacentral:rRNA from 1 species